AUUUUUUAUGUUGGGCAGAUAAUUGUUAUGGGUGCUCCAUCUAUCAUUUUCAUUGAUGAAAAUGAUUCAAUUGCACCCAAGAGAGAAAAGACCAAUGGAGAAGUAGAACGUCGUAUUGUUUCACAGCUACUGGCUCUUAUGGAUGGACUCAAAUCUCGUUCCCAUGUUAUUGUUAUGGGUGCUACAAACCGGCCAAACAACAUCGAUCCUGCUCUUAGAAGAUUUGGAAGGUUUGACCAAGUAAUUGACAUUGGAGUUCCUGAUGAAGUUGGCCGGCUUGAGGUUUCCGUAUUCACACUAAGAACAUGAAGCUAGCUGAAGAUGUUAAUUUGGAACUCAUUUCAAAGGAUACCCAUGGAUACGUUGGUGCUGAUCUUGCUGCCCUUUGCACUGAGGCUGCUCUUCAUUGAAUUCGUGAGAAGAUGGACAUCAUAGAUCUUGAGGAUGAUACAAUAGAUGCAGAGAUAUUGAACUCGAUGGUUGUUACAAAUGACCAUUUCAAGACUGCGCUUGGAACAAGCAACCCAUCUGCUCUCCGUGAAACUGUUGUUGAAGUCCCAAAUGUCUCUUGGGAUAGA